UAUAGUGCGACUUGUCAGAGACAUUGGGUCAUUAUGGGAUUUCCCCGUUCUCUACCCCGAUCGAGAUAUCCUCUGUUUCACCAAAGAAGGAUUGAUUAAAUCAUCCAAAAAUUAGAGCGUGAAGUGGCAAUAAAGUGCAAUUAGAUCUAUGCUUUGGAGGUAUUCAGAUUAAUAUUAUCAAUUAGAAUAAUUUAUGGUUAGCUUGUUUGGACCAAUAAAAUGAAGUAUCCAGGCUCCGCUUAGAAAAACCCAAUUAGUACUAUAUCCAUGAUUACUAUUUGUAUCAUAUUCUAUUUAUAAAUUUUAUAAAUUAGAAAUAGGAGUAAUUUAAAACUACUAAUCAUAAUCAAUCGAAUAAUUUGAUAAAUACGUCAAAUAUUUUGUGGAAGGCGUGAAAUGAAUUGAAAAAAAAAGGAAGUUGUAGCAAAAAGACACGGUAUUGGGGGCAUUUGCCCUAUAUGUGCAAAUCCAAAUCGGGCAGAUCUUUACUCGGAGUAGAGCACAAACCUAAAAGAAUUAAAGAAGCCCACUCAGGAACAAGAGAAUGUUAUCGUGAUUUGAAUUGGAUCCCGAUGAAAGAAUACAUCAAUGAGAAGUUAGUUUGAUAAGUUUAAUGAAUUUUUUUUAUUUAUAGGUAAACGGGUAAAAAAACCAUCUUUCUUGAAAAAUGGAGGAAAAACCCCUUCGUUAUUCGUUAAAUGGGAUCUACAUAUUGAUUCUUUUUUUUCGCGAUUUUUGAUGAACCGUAUGCAUCAAAAGGUGCAUGUACGGUUCCUAAGGGAUAGAAUUUGAUCCUAAUCAACCGACUUUAUCGAGAAAGAUUACUUUUUUUAGGUCAAGAUAUUGAGAGUGAGAUCUCGAAUCAACUUAUCGGUCUUAUGGUAUAUCUCAGUACAGAAAGUGAGAUCAAAGAUUUGUAUUUGUUUAUCAACUCUCCUGGCGGAUGGGUAAUACCCGGAAUAGCUAUUUAUGAUACUAUGCAAUUUGUGCGACCAGAUGUACAAACAGUAUGCAUGGGAUUAGCCGCUUCAAUGGGAUCUUUUAUCCUGGUCGGAGGAAAAAUUACCAAACGUCUAGCAUUCCCUCACGCUUGGGUAAUGAUCCAUCAACCUUUUGCUGCUUUUUAUGAAGCACAAAUAGGAGAAUUUGUCCUGGAAGCGGAAGAACUACUGAAACUACGCGAAAUCCUCACAAGGGUUUAUGCACAAAGAACAGGCAAACCCUUAUGGGUUGUAUCUGAAGACAUGGAAAGGGAUGUUUUUAUGUCAGCAGCAGAAGCCCAAGUUCAUGGAAUUGUUGAUCUUGUAGCAGUUGCAUAAAAAAUAGCAGGAAUUUCACACAAAUCGCGAUUUGAGAUUUUAGUUUCUUACCGAGGUUUCAUAUUCUAUUUUAAUAUUUUAUUAAAAUAGAAUAUGAAUAUAGAAAGAAUUCAUAAUCAUCCGGUUAGGAUCGAUCUAAACCAGCCCAUUAUGCAUACGAUUCAACAUGCCAACUAUUAAACAACUUAUUAGAAACACAAGACAGCCAAUCAGAAAUGUCACCAAAUCCCCCGCUCUCGGGGGAUGCCCUCAGCGCCGAGGGACAUGUACUAGGGUGUAUGUGCGACUCGUUCAGAUUUCAGAUUGUGGGUGGGGACAAAAGAAAGAAUUUUUCCACUAUCCGUGAUCAGUACCGAUGAAUAGGAUAGAAUGGAAGACUCCCCUUCACUAUCUAAAAUGAAAAAAAAAAGAUCUAGAAUAUGCUUCUAUUGUGUAUCAAAUUUAUGGUUUCUAUUGGUGCAAAUUCAAUUACCUCAAUUUUCAAUUGAAAAUGCGAAAGAAUUCCCCAUUGGUAGCAAAUGAUUAUCUGUUAAGCAGGGCAAAUCUUAUUUAAAUUAAAAAGCCGAAAAUGGAUGCCUCUACUCUUGCAAGAACGGACUAACAAGGUCAGCUAAUCAGCUAAUCCACAUAAUUAAAUACCGUUACUGUAAAAACGGAUCUCGUUGUGAAAGACCUACUACUGAGGAAUUCAUGGGUAGAGCCAAAAAGUGUAAACUGUACAAGUUAACAAUAGCAUUGAUUCGAUCAAGUAAGGGGCUCCGGUGUAUAGAGAGGACCUCGCCGUUUAAGAAAUAACCAUAGAAACGAUGGAACCCACUAUUUAUUUAUCCAUUUCUAUUUACUACUUAAUUACUACUUAUUUUUAUUUACUAUAUUUUUGUUAUUUUUGUUUGAUACCUAGUACCAAUAAGAUUUCUUAUUUCAAGGCGAAAUGCUUAUAAAAAAAAAAAAAGAAAAAAUAGUGGUUGGGAAGGUUAGAGUAGCAAAAGCCGUUGGAAUUAUUAUUUUAUACAUUGGAAGAAUCCGUUUUGUUAUUCUAGAAAAGGGAAAAAGAAUAACUGAAAGAAAGGAAAUCAAUUAGUUAUUUAUCAAAGUUUCGUUUAUUCAAUGACCAGAAUUAGACGAGGAUAUAUAGCUCGGAGGCGUAGAACAAAAAUUCGUUUAUUCACAUCAAGCUUUCGUGGGGCUCAUUCAAGACUUACUCGAACUAUUAUUCAACAAAAAAUAAAAGCUUUGUUUUCGGCCUAUCGGGAUAGAGAUAGGCACAAAAGAAAUUUUCGGUGUUUAUGGGUCACUCGUAUAAAUGCAGCAAUUCGCGAGAAUGCAGUAUCCUAUAGUUAUAGUACGUUAAUAAACAAUCUGUACAAGAGACAGUUGCUUCUUAAUCGUAAAAUACUUGCACAACUAGCUAUAUUAAAUAGGAAUUGCCUUUAUCUGAUUUCCAAUGACAUGAUAAAAUAAGGAGAUUGGAAGGAAUCCUUCGGAAUGUUUGACUUUGACAUGGAAUUACUUGGAAAAUGAAUUCCGGGAAGGUAGAAUAGAAAUAAGUAUGAUAAAAUAUGAUCAUAAUAUGAUCAAGUAGUCAAACUGAACAAAAACAUUCAAUAAAAAAAUAUUUAUUUUUUUAUUUACUUUACCCAAUUCGUUUUUUUUACGACACGACAAUCAAAUCUGUAUUCCUGGAUUUUUCUCGAACAAAACAUCAACCGACGUUUGAGUUCGGAUUGAAAUUUUGAUUCAAUUAAAGAGUAAGUCUAUUUUUUUCUGGUUCUAAGACCCGUAGUUCGAGCGACCAACUCGUUUUUUUUCAAAUUGUCUUUCAUUAUUAAGAAAGGGUAAUGAAGAUAAAAUACGAGCUUGUUUUAUAGCAAUGGUAAUUAAUCGUUGUUGUUUUAAAGUCAAUCUAUUCACCCGUCUAGAUAAUAUUUUUCCUUGUUCACUAAUAAAUCGACUAAUUAAACUCAUGUUUCUAUAAUCAAUUCGAUCCCCCGAUCCAAUCGGGGGCAGACGCCUACGAAGAGAUCGCUUGGGCUUAAGAAAAAGUCGCUUGGAUUUAUCCAUGGCUUGUUUAUUUUAUUCCUUUUUUCGAGAAUCCUAUUUCCUUUGAUCGGAUCAAAAAUGCUAAUGAUUUCGAAUUAAGAAAUAGGAUUUUGCUUAUUUCUAUUUAAAUAUAUAUAUUAACAUAUGAUAUGCUAAUAUAUGAUAUGUCAAUAUGUCAUUUUUCAUCUUCCUUGUAAAAGUCACACGCAGUUGAUCAAUUCCAUCUAUUUCUUUAUCUCCCCGUGAAUUGUAUGUUUGUAACAAUAGGGACAGAAUUUUCUCAACUCCAAUCGACUAGGCCUAUUGUGUCGAUUCUUUUGAGUAAUAUAUCUAGAAAUGCCUAUUUAUUUCUUAUUAACACUGUUUCGAACACAACUGGUACAUUCUAAAAUAACCCUUAUUCGGACGUCUUUACCAUUGGCCAUGAACCUCCUUUUGGUUUUUAUUCACUCAACUCUUCUAUUUUCCUAUCCGAAACGAAGAAGAAAAGAAGGAAAAAAUACAAGUUACUAACUCGAAAUCAAAUUAUGAAAGAUUUUGUUGCCGCCAAUAUAGUAAUAGUAAAAAUAAGUAAUACAAUGAUUAAAAAUUAUAUUUACAUUAGAAGUAUAUUUAGAUUAGAAGUUUAGAUUAGAAUAGAAGUACAGUCUUUCUAUUUUAUUUCAACUUCUUGUAUGAUACUGUUGCCCUAACCGCAUUUCCACUUCUGUUCUCUUAAUUUAAUAUUUAAUUAAAGAUUUAAUUAAAGUAAAUUUACUUGAAGUUUGAACCCAGUUCCGUGUUUGGCUGAGGUUGAAUCCACUUUUAUUCUUUCUCUUUUCUAACUUAUUCGAAUUAGAAAAAAGGGGGUAGUAGUCAGAGAUAUUUAAUUGUGUCUCUAAGUUUCUUCACCCCCCUGUGUUAAUAACUAGAAUGAAAAAAAAGGGAAUGUCAAAGCAUCCGGGAAAAAACGAUUGAUCUCUAUCAAUAGACCUGCUAAAGACCCGAACCAUAGAGUACUUAUUACUGGCGCUACGGAUAGAUAUGUUUUUAGAUCUCGCAUAAAAAAUCCUCCUUCUGUAUUCUUUAUUGUAAUACAUAACGGCAAUACAUAUAUGAUCAGAUGUAUAUAUGUAGUUAAAUUAAAGGACACUCGCAUUUGUUUUGUACGCGGAAUUCUUAAUUCAAAUUGAGAAAUGUACAAUAAUUUGAUAGAUAAGAUUUUCCUCUUCUUUUCUUAAAAGAACAAAAUACGUCUCUUUCCGUCUGGGCAUUCACGAAAUUUAUGGCGGGUUUCCUAUUUUUUUUUUCAUAUGUAUAUAAGUUUAUUAUUAUAUGUAUUAUAUGUUAUAUGAUAUGAGACAAAAAAAAAAAAGAAGAAAUGGCAAGAUAAGUUAUGUAUCUCAAUGGAGAAAAUGAAAUGAAAUAAGUAUGUGGAAAACAAGACAGGGAUUCUCUACAAUGACAUUGUAGACCAAUUGAAAGGGAUGUAGCGCAGCUUGGUAGCGCGUUUGUUUUGGGUACAAAAUGUCACGGGUUCAAAUCCUGUCAUCCCUACUUAUUACUUCGCCUCUGAGCAAUACAAUAACAAGGGAUCAAUUGAGAUCAAUUAAAAUUGGGCAUACCUAAUCAUAAAUUAAUAUGAUAUUAAAGAAUAUCAUAUUAUUAUUUAUUAUAUUUAUAUAUAAUAUAGUUUAUAUAUGAGAUAGUAUAGGCAUUCAAGAUGUAGUGGAGUAAAAAAAAAAGAAUCUUUUUACUUACAGCUUUCUUUUUUGUAAUAAAAAAGCGCUCUUAGUUCAGUUCGGUAGAACAUGGGUCUCCAAAACCCAAUGUCGUAGGUUCAAAUCCUACAGAGCGUGAUUCCAUUCUUGUUUUGUUAAGUCAAAAAUUUUAGGGAAAAGCUUGAACAUCAAUCUUAAUUUGACCUCCUGUGGAUAAAAAAAAGGAGGAGGUCAAAAAAAA